UUUUAGCCCUGAUGGAAGUGAAAAUCCUACCGAAUUUUCAUCGGUAGAUUGUAACGGACAGCAGGAAUAAAC
rnacentral:sRNA from 10 species